rfam:Neolentinus lepideus HHB14362 ss-1 unplaced genomic scaffold NEOLEscaffold_82, whole genome shotgun sequence.
GGCCAUAUAGUGUAGUGGUCUUAUCACAUCGGAUUUUGAAUCCAAAUUUCCGAUAACCCAGGUUCGAGUCCUGGUAUGGCCU